CCCUACUCUGACCAUCUGCCUGUCAAUUGUUACUAAAUAGUGUUACACCUACUCAAUUCUAUUGAGUAUAUAUACCAUUAUAUACACCAUGAAUAUUUAAUACGCGUGCCGACUGUGAACAAGAGUGAUGUGCCUUUUUUCGUUAACCUUGAUAUUCUGAUUCGUUGGCCAACAAGGUUUCUGGACGACAAUAAUAGAGAAAAACUUCCUGUGAAAUAAUUGUAUAUAAUAUAAUAAUAAUGAAAGAAUAUUUCAUUUUUUGCGGAAAGGAGCUAACGGUAUGUGAAAUUACUCGCCUCACUGGGUUCACUGGAAUAACCUCUGAUAAUAUAUUCACUGGAGAAAAGCUCGAGCAUAUAAUGAAUAAUAUUAUCUAUCUGUUAUCGUACAUUUUACUAGGCACUGCAACUUGGAAACUGGGCGGAAUAAUCCCCAUAAGCCGAAAGUUUGUGGUAAAAAACGCAAAACGCAAGUCUUUAGCAACGAACUAUGCAAUUUAACAUUCACAACUUGGAUAAAAUAUGUAUUAAGCGACAGUCAAGGAGGAAAAUAAAGAUAAUGUCUGUAAAAAUAUUCAAGAGAUCGGAGCAAUCAGUCGAUAAUGACAUCCAGCUGUUUCAUUUCACCGCAAUUAUGAAAUAUAGAUGUUUCGCUUGAAUUCGUUCGAAAAAGGAUUAAUUGAAGAGCACCACUCUUCAAGUGGUUCGCAAAGUAACUCGAUAUCGGGCCGAAUUUAUUUUCAUUCGGCUAUUUCGUUUCGAUUCGUUCGAUAUAUUCCCGAAGAAGGCUAGCCACCAAUGGCACGAGAGUAGUAUAUCGCUUCGAUAUAAAGCUCGACCAUUCGACGUAUUUAACCGCGCAGACGUACUUGAACAUAGUAACAUAUAUAUCGACAAUUCUUUUACCUCCUCUCGCCGUUUCGCUUUAUGUAUCCCGCGAAAGUGCACAAGCCGCUUUACUACUCGAAAAGAAGUUCCUGCCAGGGGAAGCAAGCAACGAUAGAGCAGCACGGUGGAAUCAGCCCUGUGUAACCGCCACGGGCUCAAUAUCUAAACAGGAAAUUUCCGUGCACGCCAGAAAACAUAGCUAGAAAUGUACGCGAAUCCGACGAAUGUAAAAUACAUAGUAAAUGUACCGCAAAGAUGGACUGAGGAAAGUGCAUAUUUAAAUGCGGAUAAAAAGAUCCUAAUCCUCAGAAGAAAGGAUGUCUUCGCUCAGAUAAUAUAAAUAAUCCUUCCGUGAAAUUUGAUGUAAUACAAGUGUUUUAUCAUUCUGAGUGCAUUUUAUUAAAUUAUGUGAUUUUCUUUCGCGUUUUUUAAUUUUUGAACCAAAUAUAGAAAAAUAAACUUUCUAUAACUUUUAAGCUAUUGUAUAAAUUGUACAUUCUAUAAAGAUCGAGUAAUUUCACUUAAUUUUCUGACAUCAUUUAAUUCUAAUCUAACUUUUUCUCAAAUUCUUGAACUUUUCAUGUGAUAUUUAAAUAAUUCCAAACUAUUAGUUUAUAGUGUAUUGUAAAUUUUUAAUAUAGAAUGUUCCAAAAAUGUAGGAAAUUGGAGAUUCCUGAGAUAAUUUCAAGCAACAUUUUCUUUUGAAAAAUCUUUCGAAACAGCUUUGUUAAUGUGAUAUUAAUAAAAUUAAUAUAUUUAUUACAAAAAUUACUAGUUAAUACGAGUUCUAAAUCACUCAAGCCAUGAUGUUAGUGAUGAAAUAUGUGCCGUCGGCCGAACACGAAGUCCAAGCAAUAGUUGUCGAAAAAAGUCUGUUGAAUAAUAAAUAUUUUGUUAUCAAAAAAAAUUAUAUCGAAUUUUAUUUAAGAAUUAAAUGAAAAAA